AAAACGCCCUGCCUCUCUCUGCUCUCCUUCGCGAUUUUUCUCAGGCCAUUUUCUGCAGUUUUCACCUCCGUCCUUUACCGCUGCUUUUGUCUCCAUCCAUUGUCUCCUCAUUCUCCUAUUCGUGGUGUACCAUAAACACCAGUUUGCGUGGAUCGCAAUAGCAGAAGCCUUAAGCUUUUUGGAUCCAAAUCGCCGAUUUCAUGUCGUGCCCGUCCUUUUUUCGCCUUCUCCUUCUUCUAUUCGUUGAUAUUACUGCAAAAACCCUAAUUCACAAAUAGCAGAAACCCUAGCUGUUCCGAUUUUAACUUUUUCACUCCGAAAUCUGACUCCUAUUUCUACAAUGGUUAGAGAAAUUGAUUUGAAGAGGAAAUGAGAUAUUGAUGGUGAAUCAUCUUCAAAGAAAAAGAAGAGAAGAACUUAUAAACCCAAGGUAUUCUACAUGUUAUAGUUUUUAUAUACCCAUUCUUCUUUUCUGUAAUUUUUUAGUUAGUUGUAGGGCCUCUAGCUUGAUUUUAGAGUAGGCACCAUGAUCGGAAUAGGUGGCUGAAACUGGAUCCAUCUUGAUAAAAAAUAAGAUACGUGCAUAAAUAUCUAUUCCUGUUCGAAUUCGGACUAAGUUGGAGAUUAUACAAGUGAAUGAAUUUUUCAAGUAAUGAAUAUCAAACAUUCCCCCUUAGCUACAAAAGGCUAAAAACCAGUUCCAGUAAGUAAUAAGUUGCUGAUCAAUUUGAGUUAUUAUGAAUUAAAAUUACAUUUCAAUUCAUAAGAUUGAAUUCUAUUCAUUUACUUCAAAAUAUAAACUGUAUAGGCUUUAUGUUUUGUAAUUGAUUCAAUUAUGUUUGGAGUAAAAGGUGAAAUUGGAUUGUUCUUCUUUUGGCUUUUGUAUAAAGCUAUUAUUCUCCAGUACUCAAAUCGUAUCGACAAAUUUAAGAUAUAGAAACACUUUCUGCUGGGUCUUAGUGAAUUAACUUCAGCGUUGUCAAUAUUCUAGUCCUUUGUGAUUUAUCUUUUUAUUUUUAUUUCUUGAAGAUCUCAUGCAUAGCUUCUGCAACCAGUUUUGAGUAUAUGACAGAAUAAAAUUAUGCUGGAUUAGAACUAGUAAAAUGCGAGUAGCGGGAGCGAUGUGAUAUGAAAUAAUGUACAAGAUUAGCUUUAAGUACUUUCAACUAUCUUAUCAUAAAUUUAGUUGAAGAGUACAAAUUAUUAUUGUCUGUAGACUGGAAUAUGAUGGUAACAAUUUCACAAGACACUUGCAAAUUAAGCAUUUAACUGAAUCAAUAAUUCAAUAGUGAUGUCAUUUUCACUCAAGAAUUUGACAUCAUCUGCAGGGUAUUUCAGUGAGCUAUAUUAAGCAUUGAUCAUGGGCUCUGGAGUUUGGUUCAAGAAUAUAAUGAGCAAAAAGAAAGUGAGAGGUGACAAAUCACAAAAAUUGAAGGUUUGCUGCUCUUAAAUAUUCUUAAUUCCCUUAGUCUUGGCAGUCUUAGACAUGAUAUAUAAUUUUAUAUAAAUUUUUGUUUCAGGCUCAUGAGUUGUGACGAGAUCAUUCUCAAAGGUGUAAUUCCAUAAUUAUCGUCGAAAUUCCACUUCUUAGGUAAGCAAUGGCUUGCCCUAACUUGUUAUUGAAGAUAUUGGAAAUAUUUGAAGCCUUGUCGGCAUAUAUAAUUGCAGCCUUGUCGGCUUAUAUGAUUGGUUAUUGUGGAAUGAACAAUUGCACAAGCGCACAUAGUAACUGUAUUAGAAAUUGUAAUUGUGUGAUGAUUGAGAUAUUUUGUAAUUAUUUUUUUAGGUUAAUCAUUGGACAUUAGGUACAUACUCAUACACUAUGCCUCCUAAAUAUGAGUCUAGUGCUCAAAAGAGAAAAAUGAAACGAAAUAUAGCGUUUGGAACACAUUAGACUCA
rnacentral:lncRNA from 1 species